GGGAGGAGCCUGUGCGGGCACUGAUUCCUGCAGAAGUGGUGUCUGCAACUCAUGUCCGGGAUUCGGACCGACCCACGCAGGAUGUCCGACAGACCAGCCGGCCAGACAGGCCUCAGACAACUCAGGAUGAUGCUGGGAUUGCAGGUUCUGCUUCUGUAAGCCUACCUCCUCUAAGGCGCCCAUCACAGGGCUCGGGGCACUUACCCAGGAGGCCAAGUAAGACACGGCGUCUUGGCACGGAAUCUGCGGCUCCAUCUUCCCCACCCAGGCGGCGCAUUUCUGCAGUGUCACCCCAGCCACCACUGGCACUAUUGGCGAGUCCACAGAGUGAUGAGCCCCGAUCACCUCAGUUAUCUGGUGAGUCAAAACAGA